rnacentral:lncRNA from 1 species
AUUUUUGUUUAAAAAAGCUUUAAUUUAUAAUUAUUCAAAUUAUUGAUUAUAUGCUGCGGUAGCAUUUCUUCGUGAGCAUUUUACGAGAUUUGUAAUUGGAUAAGCGUGCUAUAAGUGAGAAUUCAAUGACUUGUCUAUAUGUAUAAGUGAUAAAAGUCGAUGCAUAUGAAAUAUACUAUGUAGAUGAAAAUUCGAAAAAAUAAUCGAUGUAAUUAACUACACGCAUGCGUGUACAUAAUAAUGACGAAAAUAGAAAAACUCUA